rnacentral:rRNA from 1 species
CUACGGGUCGCUGCAGUGGGGAAUAUUGGACAAUGGGGGAAACCCUGAUCCAGCAAUGCCGCGUGUGUGAAGAAGGCCUGCAGGUUGUAAAGCACUUUCGGUUGGGAGGACUGCUUCUAGCACUAAUAUUGUUGGAAGUUGACGUUACCUUCAGAAGAAGCACCGGCUAACUCCGUGCCAGCAGCCGCGGUAAUACGGAGGGUGCAAGCGUUAAUCGGAAUUACUGGGCGUAAAGCGCGCGUAGGCGGCUAGAUCAGUCGGGUGUGAAAGCCCCGGGCUUAACCUGGGAACUGCAUCCGAUACUGUCUAGCUUGAGUACAGGAGAGGAGAGUGGAAUUCCACAUGUAGCGGUGAAAUGCGUAGAUAUGUGGAGGAACACCAAUGGCGAAGGCAGCUCUCUGGCCUGAUACUGACGCCGAGGUGCGAAAGCGUGGGGAGCAAACAGGAUUAGAUACCCGCGUAGUC